AAUUGGCAGUGCUGAUGUCGUUAAUGUCUCUGAUUCAUUUCCCAAAGAGAAGAGAGAAACAUAGGCGGAGAGGAAGCUGGGAUUUAUUUGGAUUCUUUGCUUCCAAAUGCAACACCCCCUCCAAUUACAUCUCUUACUACCUCAAUUAACCAUUAGCCCAAGGUUAUUUUUUUUCCCUCCAGGGUGGUGAGUAAGCAAAAUGCUUGAGCAGCAACCUCUAUGCUAAUUCUGCAGUAGAGGCUGACUGAGAUUGUGAGAAGCCCUGCUCUAUUUGCAUUCAUUCAGCCGUCCCUUUGUAAAACAGUGACCCACCCUGCGGUAAUUGUAAAAUCCACUGCGCUGACCAGGAGAAUCCCAGAGUUCCAGCUCACUGCUACCUCUGCUCUUCCCUCAAGAACAGGAUCAAGGAGUUUGCAGACUGUGUCUUGAUGGAGCAGCUGAACACACAGUAAAUGCUCCCAGGAGCGUCCCCUGUGCCUGCACACAAGAGGUGUGAGCCCUGCGCCUGGCUGAGCUUGUGGACAAGACCCUUCCUGGUCUGGCUUGAAAGUUAUCAUCUAAAUUCAACUAAUGACCGAAGAAUAUGGAACCACAGGAGUCAUGAGGAUUUCGUUAAUCUGUGUCAGCUGUUUGUGGUUUGGUCCUUUGCGGUUCGUUCUGAACAGGGACCAAUACCUGAUCAAGAAGAUGGCUGUGUUGUCACACGUUGGUGACCAUAAUAAUAGUACCUAAAACAGUGAGCACCCAGAACAGUGCCUGGCAUGGGCUAAGUGCCCCAUCCUCUGCCUCUGCACCCCAUGCAGAUUCAGCGUGCCUGCCGUGGAGUCAAGAGUCUGCUUUUUACUCGCUCCUGAGGUGAUUCCGACGGUUCAGGAACCACUUGAGAAGGCCAGCCCCACUUGCGAGCACAGCACUUCCCUUGACUCCCUGGCUGGUCAGCAACAGCCUCCCUGACUGGGUUUCAAAGCUCAGGCUCCCCUGAGGUUUUUCUCUGGUUUCUCCGUGCAGUCAUUGUCUGGAAUCACUCUCUUCACAGACCAGGGAUACUUGGCAGUCCUGAGCUCAAGAAAAGGUCCCAUCAACUCUGCUUACUUCCCCUUGUUUAUCUCGUUCUAUGCUCUUUCAACUCUAAUUCCC
ensembl:lncRNA